GGUCCCGAUUAAGUCGUUCUUGACUUGUUCUUAUCUUGAGUUAUUUUUGACUCGUUUAUAUAUUCAUUUUCGUGGCUCAACCCAUACGUGAUUAGACCUGAUAUAUAUUAUUGAUCCCUUCCCGAAUAGUUUAAGCUUUUAAGAUUUAGUGGUUAAUUGACAUAUGGGAGCUAUAUGAUUGAUCCACUACUAGAGUCCUG
rnacentral:lncRNA from 1 species